UCUCUUUAUUUUAUUUUAUUUAUUUUUUGAUCAAAUAUCCCCUUUAUUUCUUAUGGCACAAUCACCUUGAAUUAAAAACUGAAAAUCUAGAACCUCUUCUUCUUCAUUGUUUGCUUACGAUCUCUCAUCAUCCAAGUAAAUGAAAAAUUAUCCCGUGGGGUUUAGGUCUAGUCCUAUGGAUGAGGAAUUGAUAAACUUUUAUCAGAAGAACAGAAUUCUGGGUAAUAGUUGGCUCCUUGACGAUUCGAUCAGCGAGAUCAACAUCUAUAGCUACGAACCAGCGUUUCUGCCUGAGGCCAAGGAGGACUACACGUUCUGGGUUUUGGAAAGUUACGAUAGGAAAAUCAAGGAUAAGGGAACACUGGAUCUGCUCUUUCCGAGAGAAAGUUCACCGGUUCGGGUGACACUCUUCAUCUUGCUCCUCCUGUAACCUCUCUCUUCCGCCAUCACUUAUCACUGUGCUACACAGGACUCGCCGAACUUUAUACCGUCCAAUCCUCCUCCCCCUCUCGGCCGUCACUCCUCACUUCCUCGCCUCACCGUCAGAUCUGCCGUCACAUCCGUUCGGUCAUUUAAUCCUUUUCCAAGUCUUAGAAACACCAAAGUCUUUGUCUUUGCUCUGUUCUUGGCUAGAGUUUGGUUUUUUCCCUGUUCUUGUUCACCUUUAUGCUCUAUGUUACAAUUUAAAGUCUUUACUUGCCUAUAGUUUAUGUAUUUACUCCGUUUCUUCUCUGUUUUGGUCAUGAAGAACACUUGACUAAAGUUUUUAUCUUGACUAAAGUACGGUGCUUUGAUUGUUACGACAGCAGAGAGGGAGCGUGGAAGUUGGAACCAUGAUGAAUGCAUUUUUGGGGGUUGAUACACUUAAGCGAUGAAGAGAGUUGUAGUCUGCUCUAAUAAAUUGAUUUUGUUUGAUACUCAAGAUAAUAUAUUGAUAUGGUAUCAGUUGAACUCCAGAAGCAAAGCUAUUGUGACCAAAGGUUUGGCUUUUAAAAACUUUUAGUUGUAGGGGAAGUUCAGAGCUUGAGAUGUCUCGUUUUCGAAAAUUGAUUUGUGGUUCUUGUCGUCUCAUUAUAGGACUUACACUUCGAAAUCGAUUCUGGGUUAAGUCUCUGACUGUUUUUUCAUGUCUG